rnacentral:lncRNA from 1 species
AGUCCCCUUAAAAGCUGGAGGAGCCAGCCUCUUAAAUUCAGCUAUAUUGCUACGCUGUUCACACUGUUCCCCUCGUCCUUGCUGUGGCUGUGUCUGGGGCAACUGCACUUGUUGUUGGAGCAACUGCUGUUGCACCUGCUGUUGCAUCUGCAUAAGGCCCACUAUGGUCUGCAUAACUUGGCCUAGGCCCGGUUCUUGUUGUCCUAUCUGAG